rnacentral:misc_RNA from 1 species
AAGGAGCACUUCUAGGCUGCUUCGGCAGUCCAGAGGCCAGUACAUCAGCGAAUGUCUGAUGCUGGUUGCUCAUGGGUGGAACGUUGACUACUCGGCACACUCGGCCAUCUCGGCUUCCCAGUACUGCUUCGGCGUGGAACGGAAGGAAGAGUGGUGAGGGUGUCGGGCACGCUGUUGGGUAUCUGAGGGUACGGCCGUUGGCCUGCUUUCAGUGCCGGCCCCAGUGCACUCGGGAUGUUGUCCCGGGGUGAUGGGUGGUUGGUCGUUGUUUGAGAACUGCACAGUGGACGCGAGCAUCUGU